GAUUUUGGGUUGGGUCGAUCGGUCCGCCUUUGGUGUGCACCUGUCGUCUCGUCCCUUCUGCCGGGGACGCGCUCCUGGCCUUCGCUGGUCGGGACGCGGAGUCGGCGAUGUUACUUUGAAAAAAUUAGAGUGCUCAAAGCAAGCCUAUGCUCUGAAUACAUUAGCAUGGAAUAACGUGAUAGGACUCUGGUCCUGUUGUGUUGGUCUUCGGGACCGGAGUAAUGAUUAAUAGGGACAGUUGGGGGCAUUCGUAUUUCAUUGUCAGAGGUGAAAUUCUUGGAUUUAUGAAAGACGAACUUCUGCGAAAGCAUUUGCCAAGGAUGUUUUCAUUAAUCAAGAACGAAAGUUGGGGGCUCGAAGACGAUCAGAUACCGUCCUAGUCUCAACCAUAAACGAUGCCGACUAGGGAUUGGCGGGUGUUGAUUUGAUGACCCCGCCAGCACCUUAUGAGAAAUCAAAGUUUUUGGGUUCCGGGGGGAGUAUGGUCGCAAGGCUGAAACUUAAAGG
rnacentral:rRNA from 1 species